AUUGAACGCUGGCGGCAGGCCUAACACAUGCAAGUCGAGCGAGCGGCGGACGGGUGAGUAAUGUAUGGGGAUCUGCCCGAUGGAGGGGGAUAACUACUGGAAACGGUGGCUAAUACCGCAUACUAUCAGAUGAACCCAUAUGGGAUUAGCUAGUAGGUGGGGUAAAGGCUCACCUAGGCGACGAUCCCUAGCUGGUCUGAGAGGAUGAUCAGCCACACUGGAACUGAGACACGGCCCAGACUCCUACGGGAGGCAGCAGUGGGGAAUAGUGCACAAGGGGCGCAAGCCGGAUGCAGCCAUGCCGGGUGGAUGAAGAAGGCCUUAGGGUUGUAAAGUACGUUCAGCGGGGAGGCGUUACUCGCAGAAGAAGCACCGGCUAACUCCGUGCCAGCCGCCGCGGUAAUUC
rnacentral:rRNA from 1 species